GGUGGCUCAGUGGCAGAGCGCUUGCCUUGCAUGCAUAAGGCCCUGGGUUCGAUUCCUUAGCACCA
rnacentral:tRNA from 1 species